rnacentral:tRNA from 1 species
AGGACGUUUAAAUCAAUUAUCUUUUUUAUUUAAUCGAAUUGGUAUAUUUGUAGGGCAGUGUUCUGAAAUUUGUGGAGCAAAUCAUAGAUUUAUACCUAUUGUGAUUUCUGUUAUUCCUCGAAUGGAAUUUUUACAAAAUUGAAUUGAAUAAUUUAGUGGCCGAAUAAAGGUAUUAAUUUCUUAAAUUAAUUAUGAGAAAUA